GUUUCCAUUCGUUGAGAGAAAAACACAUGUUUUGGAGUUACAUUCUUUGAAUGGGAUGUGAAGAUUCAUAUUGAGAUAGAAGGCUGCAUAUUUCAUCUGUUAACUUAGCUGCUGUUGACUCAUCUGCACCCAAGAGUGUACACACGGGUAUUAAAUGUGAGCAGAGCUUUGCUUUGACAUCAAAAGUGUCAUCAAAUGAAGAUGAGGUCAUGCUGGAUGAUGGUGGGCCCUCAAUCCAAUAUGAGUAGUGUUCAUUAAAGAAGAAAAAAAAUUGGACCUAAAGAUACAGAAAAACAGGAAGAAGACCACAUGAUGAUGGGGGCAGAAAUUGGAGUGUGCAGCUCCAAAUCAAGGAACACCAAGGAUUGCUGCUGCCACCGGAAGCCAGGGGAGAAGCAUGGAAUGGGUUCUGCCUGAGACCCUCCAGAAGGACCCAAUCCUAUCAUCAUCUUGAUUUCAGACUUCUGGCCUCCUGAACUACAAAAGAAUAAAUUUCUGUUGUUUUAAACCACCUGGUUUAAGGUACAUUUUUUAUGGCAGCCUGAGGAACUAACACAAUUUGUGAGUGCUGGUAUGUGCUAAAGAGA
rnacentral:lncRNA from 1 species